UACAGAGACUGCAAGCGUUAUUCUGAUUCACUGGGCGUAAAGGGUGCGCAGGCGGUUGGGUGAGUCAGAUGUGAAAUCCCCAGGCUUAACCUGGGAACUGCAUUCGAGACUGCAUUGCUAGAGUAUGGGAGAGGGAAGUGGAAUUUCCGGUGUAGCGGUGAAAUGCGUAGAUAUCGGAAGGAACAUCAGUGGCGAAAGCGACUUCCUGGACCAAUACUGACGCUCAUGUGCGAAAGCGUGGGGAGCAAACAGG
rnacentral:rRNA from 1 species